CACAGUUGGAUCAAUUGAUUUGCUUUGCUAAGCCUCUACCAUGAUUGACAGGUUGCCGUGUAGCCACGCCCCUAAAGCAUCCCUUGCUUUAUCUUCUAUUUUAAAAUAAAUGGAACCAUAAUUUACUAAAUAAACAUCAUGCUAUAUUGAAGAAGACUUAAACUCAUAAACUCAAUAUGAAAAUAUUUACUGAAGUAAUACAUCAA